AGGUCGGGGGAGGCUCCCCGCCGACUUUAACCAURUCAAUA
rnacentral:rRNA from 1 species